AACGAACGCUGGCGGCGCGUCUUAAGCAUGCAAGUCGAACGGCAAGAGAGGAGCUUGCUUCUCUCCUAGAGUGGCGGACUGGUGAGGAACACGUGGGUAAUCUACCCUUAAGAUGGGGAUAGCUGCUAGAAAUAGCAGGUAAUACCGAAUACACUCGGCAUAUCACAAGAGGUGUUGAGGAAAGGAAGCUACGGCUUCGCUUGAGGAUGAGCUUGCGUCCCAUUAGCUAGUUGGUGAGGUAAAGGCCCACCAAGGCAACGAUGGGUAUCCGGCCUGAGAGGGUGAACGGACACAUUGGGACUGAGAUACGGCCCAAACUCCUACGGGAGGCAGCAGCUAAGAAUAUUCCGCAAUGGACGGAAGUCUGACGGAGCGACGCCGCGUGGAUGAAGAAGGCUGAAAAGUUGUAAAAUCCUUUUGUUGAUGAAGAAUAAGGGUGAGAGGGAAUGCUCAUCUGAUGACGGUAAUCGACGAAUAAGCCCCGGCUAAUUACGUG
rnacentral:rRNA from 1 species